UGCAAGUCGAACGCGUUGGCCCAAUUGAUUGAUGGUGCUUGCACCUGAUUGAUUUUGGUCGCCAACGAGUGGCGGACGGGUGAGUAACACGUAGGUAACCUGCCCAGAAGCGGGGGACAACAUUUGGAAACAGAUGCUAAUACCGCAUAACAGCGUUGUUCGCAUGAACAACGCUUAAAAGAUGGCUUCUCGCUAUCACUUCUGGAUGGACCUGCGGUGCAUUAGCUUGUUGGUGGGGUAACGGCCUACCAAGGCGAUGAUGCAUAGCCGAGUUGAGAGACUGAUCGGCCACAAUGGGACUGAGACACGGCCCAUACUCCUACGGGAGGCAGCAGUAGGGAAUCUUCCACAAUGGGCGCAAGCCUGAUGGAGCAACACCGCGUGAGUGAAGAAGGGUUUCGGCUCGUAAAGCUCUGUUGUUAAAGAAGAACACGUAUGAGAGUAACUGUUCAUACGUUGACGGUAUUUAACCAGAAAGUCACGGCUAACUACGUGCCAGCAGCCGCGGUAAUACGUAGGUGGCAAGCGUUAUCCGGAUUUAUUGGGCGUAAAGAGAGUGCAGGCGGUUUUCUAAGUCUGAUGUGAAAGCCUUCGGCUUAACCGGAGAAGUGCAUCGGAAACUGGAUAACUUGAGUGCAGAAGAGGGUAGUGGAACUCCAUGUGUAGCGGUGGAAUGCGUAGAUAUAUGGAAGAACACCAGUGGCGAAGGCGGCUACCUGGUCUGCAACUGACGCUGAGACUCGAAAGCAUGGGUAGCGAACAGGAUUAGAUACCCUGGUAGUCCAUGCCGUAAACGAUGAGUGCUAGGUGUUGGAGGGUUUCCGCCCUUCAGUGCCGGAGCUAACGCAUUAAGCACUCCGCCUGGGGAGUACGACCGCAAGGUUGAAACUCAAAGGAAUUGACGGGGGCCCGCACAAGCGGUGGAGCAUGUGGUUUAAUUCGAAGCUACGCGAAGAACCUUACCAGGUCUUGACAUCUUGCGCCAACCCUAGAGAUAGGGCGUUUCCUUCGGGAACGCAAUGACAGGUGGUGCAUGGUCGUCGUCAGCUCGUGUCGUGAGAUGUUGGGUUAAGUCCCGCAACGAGCGCAACCCUUGUUACUAGUUGCCAGCAUUAAGUUGGGCACUCUAGUGAGACUGCCGGUGACAAACCGGAGGAAGGUGGGGACGACGUCAGAUCAUCAUGCCCCUUAUGACCUGGGCUACACACGUGCUACAAUGGACGGUACAACGAGUCGCGAACUCGCGAGGGCAAGCAAAUCUCUUAAAACCGUUCUCAGUUCGGACUGCAGGCUGCAACUCGCCUGCACGAAGUCGGAAUCGCUAGUAAUCGCGGAUCAGCAUGCCGCGGUGAAUACGUUCCCGGGCCUUGUACACACCGCCCGUCACACCAUGAGAGUUUGUAACACCCAAAGUCGGUGGGGUAACCUUUUAGGAGCCAGCC
rnacentral:rRNA from 1 species